rnacentral:rRNA from 1 species
ACGAAGGGGGCUAGCGUUGUUCGGAAUUACUGGGCGUAAAGCGCACGUAGGCGGACAUUUAAGUCAGGGGUGAAAUCCCGGGGCUCAACCCCGGAACUGCCUUUAAGACUGCAUCGCUUGAAUCCGGGAGAGGUGAGUGGAAUUCCGAGUGUAGAGGUGAAAUUCGUAGAUAUUCGGAAGAACACCAGUGGCGAAGGCGGCUCACUGGACCGGUAUUGACGCUGAGGUGCGAAAGCGUGGGGAGCAAACAGGA